rnacentral:tRNA from 1 species
GGGUCAUGGCUCAGUGGUGGAGCAUCUGCUUUGCAUGCAGAAGGUUCUAGGUUUAAUCCCCGGCAUCCCCA